GACGAACGCUGGCGGCGUGCUUAACACAUGCAAGUCGAACGGAAAGGCCCUGCGUUUGUGGGGUGCUCGAGUGGCGAACGGGUGAGUAACACGUGUGUAACCUGCCCUUGUCUUUGGGAUAACUUCAGGAAACUGGGGCUAAUACCGGAUAGGAGCUCCUGCUGCAUGGUGGGGGUUGGAAAGUUUCGGCGGUUGGGGCUGGACUCGCGGCUUAUCAGCUUGUUGGUGGGGUAGUGGCUUACCAAGGCUUUGACGGGUAGCCGGCCUGAGAGGGUGACCGGCCACAUUGGGACUGAGAUACGGCCCAGACUCCUACGGGAGGCAGCAGUGGGGAAUAUUGCACAAUGGGCGGAAGCCUGAUGCAGCAACGCCGCGUGCGGGAUGACGGCCUUCGGGUUGUAAACCGCUUUCGCCUGUGACGAAGCGUGAGUGACGGUAAUGGGUAAAGAAGCACCGGCUAACUACGUG
rnacentral:rRNA from 1 species